rnacentral:pre_miRNA from 1 species
UGAUGAUGAUAAUGAUGAUGAUGAUGGUGGUGGUGGUGGUGGUGGUGAUGAUGAUGAUGAUGGCUCUUGCAUCGUUCCCUAUUCGAGAAGCCGUCAUCAUCAUUGUCAUCAUCAUCAUCAUCACGACUA